rnacentral:rRNA from 1 species
CUACGGGUGGCUGCAGUGGGGAAUAUUGGACAAUGGGCGAAAGCCUGAUCCAGCAAUGCCGCGUGAGUGAUGAAGGCCUUAGGGUUGUAAAGCUCCUUUACCCGGGAUGAUAAUGACAGUACCGGGAGAAUAAGCUCCGGCUAACUCCGUGCCAGCAGCCGCGGUAAUACGGAGGGAGCUAGCGUUGUUCGGAAUUACUGGGCGUAAAGCGCACGUAAGCGGCUUUGUAAGUCAGAGGUGAAAGCCUGGAGCUCAACUCCAGAACUGCCUUUGAGACUGCAUCGCUUGAAUCCAGGAGAGGUGAGUGGAAUUCCGAGUGUAGAGGUGAAAUUCGUAGAUAUUCGGAAGAACACCAGUGGCGAAGGCGGCUCACUGGACUGGUAUUGACGCUGAGGUGCGAAAGCGUGGGGAGCAAACAGGAUUAGAUACCCUAGUAGUC